rnacentral:rRNA from 1 species
UAGGGAAUCUUGCGCAAUGGGCGAAAGCCUGACGCAGCAACGCCGCGUGCGGGAUGAAGACCUUCGGGUUGUAAACCGCUUUCAGUGGGGACGAAAACAGACGGUACCCACAGAAGAAGCCCCGGCCAACUACGUGCCAGCAGCCGCGGUAACACGUAGGGGGCAAGCGUUGUCCGGAUUUAUUGGGUGUAAAGAGCUCGUAGGCGGCUCAGUAAGUCAGGUGUGAAAACUCCAGGCUCAACCUGGAGACGCCACCUGAUACUGCUGUGGCUAGAGUCCGGUAGGGGAGCAUGGAAUUCCUGGUGUAGCGGUGAAAUGCGCAGAUAUCAGGAGGAACACCAGUGGCGAAGGCGGUGCUCUGGGCCGGUACUGACGCUGAGGAGCGAAAGCGUGGGGAGCAAACAUGAUUAGAUACCCCGGUAGUCCCUGAGCGGGCUGGCAAGGCGCAU